UGGGGAAUAUUGGACAAUGGGGGCAACCCUGAUCCAGCGAUGCCGCGUGGGUGAAGAAGGCCUUCGGGUUGUAAAGCCCUUUAGGUCGGGAAGAAGGUUGUUGGGUUAAUACCCCGACAAUUUGACGGUACCGACAGAAUAAGCACCGGCAAACUCUGUGCCAGCAGCCGCGGUAAUACAGAGGGUGCGAGCGUUAAUCGGAUUAACUGGGCGUAAAGGGCGCGUAGGCGGUUAUAUGUGUGGGAUGUGAAAGCCCCGGGCUUAACCUGGGAAGUGCAUACCAAACUAUAUAACUGGAGUAUAUGAGAGGGAGGCGGAAUUUCCGGUGUAGCGGUGAAAUGCGUAGAGAUCGGAAGGAACGUCAAUGGCGAAGGCAGCCUCCUGGCAUAAUACUGACGCUGAGGCGCGAAAGCGUGGGGAGCAAACAGG
rnacentral:rRNA from 1 species